rnacentral:rRNA from 1 species
GGUGGUGCAUGGUUGUCGUCAGCUCGUGUCGUGAGAUGUUGGGUUAAGUCCCGCAACGAGCGCAACCCUUAAACUUAGUUGCCAGCAUUUAGUUGGGCACUCUAGGUUGACUGCCGGUGACAAACCGGAGGAAGGUGGGGAUGACGUCAAAUCAUCAUGCCCCUUAUGAUUUGGGCUACACACGUGCUACAAUGGACAAUACAAAGGGCAGCUAAACCGCGAGGUCAUGCAAAUCCCAUAAAGUUGUUCUCAGUUCGGAUUGUAGUCUGCAACUCGACUACAUGAAGCUGGAAUCGCUAGUAAUCGUAGAUCAGCAUGCUACGGUGAAUACGUUCCCGGGUCUUGUACAC